CCAUGAUGAUGUUAAUUAGAUUGAAUAUUUGCUCAAUACCUUAACAAAUAAAAGUUAGCUAGCACCCUGAGCUAGACUAUGAUAUCAAGUUUUGCAUAACAGUCCUAGCAAAAUAAUAAUAAACUUGUGCAUCUUCUAAACUUGCAUCUUUACUUGUAGCUUCAAUCUUCAAAACCUGUAAGUACAAAAGUUUGAAAAGAUGAUAAAUAACUAUAAUAUAUGUAAAUUUAAAACUAGCAAUGGUUAAAGUGUUUAUCCUAAAAGCAGUCUAAAUUCACCAGGUGUUAUCCAACAAUAUCAACAAGACUACAUGAAUAUAAGUAAAAUUAAUUAGAAAAGCUUUGGGAUGGUAAAUCAAAUUUUGGUUCGAUAAAUUCCGAUACGGUAAUUUGAGAUUUACCAUUCAAGAGAGCAACUAUUACGAACAAAACACAACAUCACUUGGUAUUUUGAAUCAUGAGAGAAUAAUAUCAUCUACUUCUACUGAGCAUGGACAUUACCAGUUAUGUGACAUACAACAAAUAAACAUAACAUUCAAAAUCAUGUUCUACCAAUAUAAUUCAAAAUAAGAUGUGGCAAGUUUCUCAUAGAAUUCACAAGAUUAAUCUUUUGUCUAGCGGCUCUAACUUUGAAUUCUCACAUGCUUGGAGGAAAGAAAACAUUAUAGCAGAUAAGCUUGCUAAUUGCAGCGAAGUUUCACGAAUAAAAUAUUUAUUUAGUGUUGCCCGUAAUCCGUGAGAUUAUAGUACUACACCAAGCUUGAAGGAAACAAUGUUCUUGUCGAGUAGAGUUGAACAUCCAAACCGAUAAAUCAAUCUUUAUUCUAGUUGCAAAGGAAACUCCAAGCAGUCUGAAUGUCUACAAUUACAAUCCAUCAGAAAUCCAAGCACUUUGUUAUGAAGUCACUGGCAUCAUUAGAAAGAACACCACGGAGAAUAAAUAAUGCCAUGUCACAUAAGCUUGUGCAAAUAUUCAUGUCACGACCCAAACUCCCUCUGUAUAACAUCGUGACGGCACCUAGUCUCUACGACUAGGUAAGCCUAACAAAUUACGGAAAAUAAUAACCGAAAGUAAAAUUUGGCAACUAACAACAAUGGAUACCUGAAUAAUUAGUAACAAUGCCGUUCGGCAUGUACGAUAACCAAUACUCUAUAAAUACACAGUCUUCCCAAAACCUGGAAUAUCAUAAGUCACAAGCUACAGAAGGAAACUAGUAUCUCUAUACACUAGAGUCUAACAAAAAAAGUACGGAAGGUAGUCUCAAAAGAAAAUGUGCAGGGAGAACUCCCGAGGAACCGCCUCGUAGUCUCAAAAGAAAAUGUGCAGGGAGAACUCCCGAGGAACCGCCUCGUAGUCUCAAAAGUAAAUGUACAGGGAAAACUCCCGAGGAACCGUCUCGUAGUCUCAAAGUAAAUAUCCAGGGAGAACUCCCGAGGAACCUCCUCGUAGUCUCAAAGUAAACACACAGCUCGAACCGAUAAAUACCAUAGUUAACAACAAAAUUUCUACAGUUAUACUGACAAAGAACAAGAAAAAACAGAAAAUCAACUAGGCAUGCUUCACGGAGUUCUAAUAAGUAAUUAAAGCACUUAGACAUGCGAUAUUAGAUUAAACUGGAUAGCUACACAUGUUAGAAUAGCUCAAUACAAAUGAAAACUAACUAAUACUCAUUUAAACGGUAUAACUCAAAUUAAAGAAAAAAUAGAUUACUACACAGUAAAAUAAAUCGGGGUUUACAACAAAUAUUCUGUGUACGUACUCGUCACCUCACGUACACGACGCUCAAAUAUCACAACAGUAUCAAAUCCUAAGGGUAUUUCCCCCCCACAAGGUUAGACAAGCCACUUACCUCGAACCAAGCUCAAUCAAUCAGUAACAAUGCCUUUUCCACGAAUAUUCGACAAAGCAAGAAAUUAGAAAAUCGCCGCAAAAAGUCAACCCGGGCCCACGUGUCGGAAUCGGGUAAAAGUCACAAAAUAUGAACACCCAUUCACUCGUACCAAAAUUAUCCAAAUCCGAUGUCAAAAUCCCAAUCAAAACCCAAAAUCUUUGUUGAAGAACUUCUUUCCAUUUCACCCAAAAAUUUACCCUAAAUCCGAAAUUAAAGGGUGGGAUCAACUAUAGAUUAAUGAGAUAUAACUAUAAAAGAGUUAAGAAUCGUUACCCACAAGCUUCCUGUGAAAAUCCCUCGAAAUGUUGCCUCAAUCCGAGCUCUCUACAUCCAAAAAUGGAGAAUGAAAUCAAACCCUCGCACUUAGCCCUUUUUUGCCUAGCGAUUUCGCACAUGCGGGCCAAGAAUUGCACCUGCGUCACCGCACCUGCGAAAUUCCCAUCGCAGGUGCGGAUUCCACUUAAAAACUCAGCGUCCGCUUCUGUGAUCAAAGGGUCGCACCUGCAUAUGCGCACCUACGGACCCAUGUCCGCUUCUGCUGUCUUCUUCCGCUCCUGCGGGUCGUUGAGUGCUUCUGCGGGCAUCGCAGAUGCGACACCUCCUUCGCACCUGCGAUCCCAGGAAACUCCUCUCUUUUCCGCUUCUACACUUGCGAUCCCGCACAUGUGGUCUUCCCACCGCAGGUGCGAAAACACCAGAACUCAGAUAGCUUUAGCAAUUGCAUAAGUCCAAAACUCAAUCCGUUAAGCAUUCAAACACACCCGAGGCCCCUGGGACCUCAACCAAACAUACCAACUAGUACUAAAUUACCAUACGGAAUUAGUCGAGCCCUCAAAUCACAUCAAACAAUGCUAAAAACACGAAUCACCAUCCAAUUCAAACUUAAUGAACUUGAAACUUUAAAUUUCUAUAACCGAUGCCGAAACCUAUCAAACCACGCCCGAUUGAUCUCAAAUUAUGCACACAAGUCAUAUUCAACAUUACGGACCUACUCCAACUUCCGAAAUCAGAAUAUGAUCCCGAUAUCAAAAAGUUCACUUCCGGUCAAAAUCUCCAAAAAUUCAACUUUCGCCAUUUCAAGCCUAAAUCAGCUACAGACCUCCAAAACAUAAUCCGGACACGCCCCUAAGUCCAAAAUACCCAACGGAGCUAACGGAAUCGUCAGAACUCCAUUCCGGAGUUAUCUUCACACAGUUCUGCCUACACUCAAAAUCCUAAGGCUUAAGCUUCCGUUUAGGGACUAAGUAUCCCUAAAUACUCUGAAACUAAAAACAAAACCUCCCGAUAAGUCACAUAAGCAGAAAAAGAUAUGGGAGAAGCAGUUAAUUGGGGAUCGGGGCUAUUACUCUCAAAACGAUCGGCUGAGUCGUUACAUUCUCCCCCUCUUAAAAUAAGCGUUCGUCUUCGAACGGGCAUAGAGACAUACCUGAAGUGGUAAAUAGAUGAGGAUAACGGCUGCACAUAUCCUGCUCGGUCUCCCAAGUCGCCUCCUCCACACAAGGUGCAGGGAGUAACGUGAGUACGCCAACUCAGUAAGUAACAACAAUAAAUAAGGACUGAGCAAUAGUGACGAGCAAUAAAGCAUAUAACGUUCAUAUCAGGAAAUCUCAAUAAAAUACCACAUGCUUUUAAAAUUAGGAUUUGAAUCAAAACAUCUCGUUUAAACCCAAUUCCAGUAAAAAUCAUUUAAAGAUAUUUUUCAACAGUUUUCAAACAGAGGAAAAAGGAAAAAGUGAGCAAAAAUGAUGUAAUCAUAAACAGCCCCUCGGGCAAAACAUCACUCAUAUACAGCCCCUCGGGCAAACCUCACAGUCACUCGUACCACUCGAGCAUACCUCACAAUCACUCUUUUCCACUCGGGCAUACCUCACAAUCACUCAUGCCUCCCAGUCACUCAGCACUCGGCACUCGCACUCAGUAGGUACCUGCACUCACUGAGGGUGUGUACAGACUCCGGAGGGGUUCUUUCAGCCCAAGCGCUAUAUCAAGCCAAAUCAUGGCAUAAAUCACUCAGGCCCUCGGCCUAUAUCAAGCAUGUUGCGGUGUGCAUCUCGAUCCCAUAAAUAUGUAACAUACUACGGCGUGCAGCCCGAUCCCAUAAAUAUCCUCAAAAUUCAGGCCCUCGGCCUCACUCAGUCAUAAACCUCUCAAGCCACUCGAGCAUUUUAGUAAAACAGGGCAUUCGGCCCAAAAUAUUUAUAUGCAUCAAAAUAGAGUCAUAAAACUGAGUUAUGUGGUAAACAAGUAUAAACAUGACUGAGUAUAGAUUUUCAAUUGAAAACAGUGAGAGGAUAGUAAGAAAAGGCCCCUAAGGGUCCAAACAGCACUAGCACAAGGUCCAAACAUGACAUUCAGCCCAAUUUACAGAAACUUUUUCUAAAAUAUAUAAGUAUCAUAUAGUUUCAACAAAGUAUGAAACUUUACAGUUGCUACGGGACGUACCAAGUUACAAUCUCCAACAGUGCACGACCACACGCCCGUCACCUAGCAUGUGUGUCACUAACAAUAGUAGAAUGAUACAAAAUUUGGGGUUUCGUACCCUCAGGACUAGAUUUACAAUCGUUACUUACCUCAAACCGGUCAAAUCUCUACCCCGCAAUGCUCUUGCCUCUGGACUCGGCCUCCAAAUGCUCCGAAUCUAUUCACAAUCAGUACAAUACCAUCAAUACGAGCUAAUGGAAUGAAUUCCACAAGAAAAGCUAUAAAAUUAGACCAAAAUCCGAAAUUGGCUCAAACCCGGCCCCCAGGCCCAUGUCUUGAAAUCCGACAAAAUUUACAAAACUAGAAAGCCCAUUCACUCACGAGUGUAACCAUAUCAAAUUCAUAAAAAUCCGACAUUAUUUGGUCCUUCAAAUCCUUAAAUUACUCCUCCAAAAAUCUCAAGCCCUAACACCUCAUUUUCAAUGGGAACUCAAUGUGAAAUCACCAUAUAUACGAGUAUUAGGGCUCAAGUAACUUACCUCAAUGAAACCCCCCUUGAUUCCCUCUUCAAAUCUCUCCCAAAAGCUCCAAAACCAAAUAGAAAUGGUGAAGAAUGCACCAAAAUUCGCGAAGUGUGCAAUAUGUACCCUUUGCCCAGGUUUCUCACACCUGCGGACAUUUACUCGCACCCGCGCGACCGCACCUGCGGUCCAAGGAACUGCACCUGCGCAACUUACUUAUCCGCCAAGACUCCGCAUCUGUGGCAAACCCGUCGCACCUGCGCGUGGCGCGCCGCAUCUGCGAAGCCAACCUUCUUCCUUCCUUCCGUAUUUGCACCCAAGGCUCGCACCUGCGGGCUCGCACAUGCGCAUCCUGCCUAGCCCAGCAUUGCCCGCACCUGCGAACCCUCUUUGCGCACCUGCGACUCCUCCUUCCGCAGGUGCGGAAAUAGCAGAAGCAGCAGCUCCAGCUGUAAAUUCCAACUUCGACAAAUCCGUUAACCAUCAGGAAUCACCCCGAGGCCAUCGGGACCUCAACCAAAAAUACCAACAAGUCAUAUAUCAACAUACAAACUUAGUCGAACCUUCGAAUUACUCAAAACAACAUCCAAACACCAAAUUACCCUCGGAUUCAAGUCUAAGAACUUCUAAAUUUCCAAAUUCGACAACCGAUGCCGAAACCAACCAAACCAUGUCCGAAUCACCUUAAAUUUUGCACACACGUCACAAAUGACACUACGAACCUAUUCCAACUUCCGAAAUUCUGUUCCGACCCCGAUAUCAAAUUUUCUACUGCUGACCAAAAUCGCCAAAUUUCCAACUUCGCCAAUUCAAGCCUAAUUCUACCACGAACCUCCAAAUUUCAUUCCGGACACACUCCUAAGUUCAAAAUCACCUAACUAAGCUAAGGGAAGUAUCAGAAUUCAAAUCCGACAUCGUUUACACAUAGGUUAACAUCCAGUUAACUUUUCCAACUUAAGUUUCUACUUAAGAGACUAAGUGUCUCAAUUAGCUCUGAAAUCACUUCAGUCCCUAACCAACUAACCCGAUAUAUCAUAAUAUAGCUGAAUAAUACAAAAAGAAGGAGAAAUAGGAAAAAUGGGGCUAUAACUCUCGAAACGACCGGCCGGGUCGUUACAGUAUGAAACCCCGAACUAUGUGUUAUGUGAUUGGUUUUGAGGUGACGCACAUGCUAGGUGACGGGCGUGUGGGCGUGCACCGUAGAAAUUGUGACUUGGUCAAAUUCCAUGAAAUUGUAUAGUUGUAUAAUCUAUUGAUACCAGUACAUUAUCUAUGUGCUAGAGAAAAUUGAGUUGAGACUCGUAUUAUAAAUCAUGUUUAGACAUAUAUUGUUAUUAUUAGUACCCACUAGGAUCAUUUCUAUGGUUGAAUAAUAUAUUCAUAUUGUAAUUUCACACUCAGUCAUGUUUAUUCAUUUCAUAUCAUAUCUCAGUCUCUGUUGCUAUUUGUUAAUACAUCAUAUUAUCAUUUUGGGCUGAUUAUAAUGAUUUCUAAGAGCCCGAGAGACUGGAGAGGUAGAUGACUGAGUGAGGCCGCUGGCCUAAUUGUGAGGAUAUUAUGAGAUCGAGUUGCACGCCGCAACAUGUUUUAUUGAUUUACGCCAUGAUUAGCUUGAUAUAGCGCUUGGGCUGAAGGAGCCCCUCCGAAGUUUGUACACACCUCCAGUGAGCAUAGGUACCUACUAAGUGUGAGUGUUGAGUGCCGAAUGAUGAGUGACUGUGAGGAAAGAGUGAGUUUGAGGUUGGAGUGAAUGGGAGGACUGAGUGACUGUUACUCUGAGAGGAUGCAUUGAUUUCAUUAUUUGUUGCAUUUCAGCUGUCAUAUAUCAGUAUUUUGGAAAUUUCGGAAAAAUAUUAUUUUCUGUUUCGGUCAAACUUGAUAUGAAAUUUCAAUGAAAUAUUAAAUAUUGAACUUGAGAGCAUGCCUACUCUUUUAUAUUGGAAAGUAUUGUAUUUGGACUUAGCUGAGAAGCUCGUUACUACUUUCAGUUCUUUAUUUAUUAUUGUUACUUAUUGAGUUGGUUGUACUCAUACUAUAUCUUGCACUUCGUGUGCAGAUCCAGGUGAUCCCGGAUACAGUGGGUGUUGAUUCUUUCACACAGUCGAUUUUUCGGAGAUUCAGAGAUAGCUGCCAUGUUUCGCAGACCUUGUCUCUCCUUCCCUAUCUUUUUGUUUAUUGUAUUUGGUCUCAGAUUAUUAUAGACCUUAUUUUCUAGACUUGUAAUAUAUAGAUGCUCAUGUACUCAGUGACACCAGGUUUUGGGAGUGUUUGUAUCGGUAUUUGCGAGACUUGUGGAUUGUGUUUAAAUAUUAUAUUUUCAAACUUAAAAGAAAUUUGGUUUGUUGAGAUUAUCGGCUUGCCUAGUAUCGAGAUAGGCGCCAUCACGACAGGUUAGGAUUUUGGGUCGUGAUACUUACUUUACUAUAGAGGUAUAUGUACGGAUCAUGGUUCAAGAUCAAAAGUUGAUUCAAAAGUUGAUUCAAGAAUCAACUUCAAUCUUAAAAUCGUUCAUCCACUAUCAGUCAUAAAUGAAAAACACUCCAUAAUUAAAACAAACAGCAUAUAUCUUAUCACAACCAAGAAUUUUGAUUUAUUAGUCUUUUUCAAACUCAUUUUGAAUCCAAAAAGAUUAAUUCAAUCAGUGAAGAUAAGAAUACUUACUACUAAUACAAUAUUUUAAUUUCAAAAACAAAUCAAAACCAAAACAUAAUCGUGCAAAAGGAUUGAAAUUUAUUUUUCCCAAGUAAAAAGGCUUGAUCUUUAUUAGGCCUCACGAGAAAAUAGCAGUAAAAAGACAAUCAAUUAGACUUCUACAAGCUAAUCUCUGAUUGGAAAAAAGAAAAAAAGAAUUCUGACAAAAAUAAGAACACCCAAUUACUACUACAAUAUUACUAUAAGUUAAUAAACAAAUCAAAAUCAGAACAUAAUCGAGAAAAAGGCUUGUGUCAAAAAGCAAGCUCAUUUAAAUCAAUGAAAAAAGAAGGAAAUUCAAAGAAAAGCCCAGGGAAUAAAUAAGAAUACACAAUUACUACAACAACAUUCCAGUUUCCAAAGUUAAAUAAAAUCAGAAAUAAUCUAGAAAAAGUGCUGAUCUUUAUUAGUAAAACAAAAAAACUAAUAUGAAAAACACGCUCACUUAAUACCCCCAAAACAAUAGAACUAACUCUCUGGAAUGAGCAGUAAAAAAAGAUAAGAAUACCCUUUUCGCUGAUUAUACAAAAGAAAAAAUACCAGAUUAUGAAACCUUACCAAUUUUUCAAUGUUAGAGAAGAAAAAGAAGAAGAACUCGGAUAAAGCAAAGUAAUCAACAACUUGAAAGAGGGGGCGUACCUUGGAUUCUCAAACGAGCAAGAUGGAAACUUGGGGAGAUUUGGAUUCGCACACUACCAGAUUCACAACCUGUGUUUUGAGAAAACAGAGAUAAAGAAGAUGGGAAGAGCUUGGCGGAGUACCAGGGCAAAGCUGUGCGGGAGUUGUGUUUUGAGA
rnacentral:lncRNA from 1 species